UAAGGUUAAGUGAAUAAGGGCGCACGGUGGAUGCCUUGGCACUAGGAGCCGAUGAAGGACGGGACUAACACCGAUAUGCUUCGGGGAGCUGUAAGUAAGCUUUGAUCCGGAGAUUUCCGAAUGGGGGAACCCAGCAUCUUUUAUAGGAUGUUACUUUUCAGUGAAUACAUAGCUGAUUAGAGGUAGACGCAGAGAACUGAAACAUCUAAGUACCUGCAGGAAGAGAAAGAAAAAUCGAUUCCCUGAGUAGCGGCGAGCGAAACGGGAAAAGCCCAAACCAAGAGGCUUGCCUCUUGGGGUUGUAGGACUCCGAUAUGGUAGUCCAGUGAGAUAGUCGAAGGACCUGGAAAGGUCUGCUAGAAAGGGUAAAAGCCCCGUAGACAAAAUUUGACUGGCACCUAGGAGGAUCCUGAGUACGGCGGAACACGAGGAAUUCCGUCGGAAUCCGGGAGGACCAUCUCCCAAGGCUAAAUACUCCCUAGUGACCGAUAGUGAACCAGUACCGUGAGGGAAAGGUGAAAAGCACCCCGGAAGGGGAGUGAAAUAGAUCCUGAAACCGUGUGCCUACAACAAGUUAGAGCCCGUUAAUGGGUGAUAGCGUGCCUUUUGUAGAAUGAACCGGCGAGUUACGAUUACUUGCGAGGUUAAGUUGAAAAGACGGAGCCGCAGCGAAAGCGAGUCUGAAUAGGGCGAAUGAGUAAGUGGUCGUAGACCCGAAACCAUGUGAUCUACCCAUGUCCAGGUUGAAGGUGCGGUAAAACGCACUGGAGGACCGAACCCACGUACGUUGAAAAGUGCGGGGAUGAGGUGUGGGUAGCGGAGAAAUUCCAAACGAACUUGGAGAUAGCUGGUUCUCUCCGAAAUAGCUUUAGGGCUAGCCUCAGAGUAAGAAUGAUGGAGGUAGAGCACUGUUUGGACUAGGGGCCCAUCUCGGGUUACCGAAUUCAGAUAAACUCCGAAUGCCAUCCAUUCAUCUCUGGGAGUCAGACUGUGAGUGAUAAGAUCCAUAGUCGAAAGGGAAACAGCCCAGACCACCAGCUAAGGUCCCCAAAUAACUAUUAAGUGGAAAAGGAUGUGGGGUUGCACAGACAACUAGGAUGUUGGCUUAGAAGCAGCCACCAUUUAAAGAGUGCGUAAUAGCUCACUAGUCGAGUGACCCUGCGCCGAAAAUGUACCGGGGCUAAAUAGUUUACCGAAGCUGUGGAACACACCAAUAGGUGUGUUGGUAGGAGAGCGUUCUAAGGGCGUUGAAGGUAGAUCGUGAGGACUGCUGGAGCGCUUAGAAGUGAGAAUGCCGGUAUGAGUAGCGAAAGACAGGUGAGAAUCCUGUCCACCGAAUGACUAAGGUUUCCUGGGGAAGGCUCGUCCGCCCAGGGUUAGUCGGGACCUAAGCCGAGGCCGAUAGGCGUAGGCGAUGGAUAACAGGUUGAUAUUCCUGUACCCGUUGUUUUUGUUUGAGCAAUGGAGGGACGCAGGAGGCUAAGGAAUCAGACGAUUGGAAAUGUCUGUCCAAGCAAUAAGUCUUGAUGUGAGUCAAAUGCUUACGUCUUUAAGGACAAGUUGUGAUGGGGAGGGAAAUAAUAGUACCGAAGUUCCUGAUGUCACACUGCCGAGAAAAGCUUCUAGUGAGAAAACAAUGGCCCGUACCGCAAACCGACACAGGUAGUCGAGGAGAGAAUCCUAAGGUGAGCGAGAGAACUCUCGUUAAGGAACUCGGCAAAAUGACCCCGUAACUUCGGGAGAAGGGGUGCUGAUCUAACGAUCAGCCGCAGUGAAUAGGCCCAAGCGACUGUUUAUCAAAAACACAGGUCUCUGCAAAAUCGAAAGAUGACGUAUAGGGGCUGACGCCUGCCCGGUGCUGGAAGGUUAAGAGGAGUGCUUAGCGUAAGCGAAGGUACGAAUUGAAGCCCCAGUAAACGGCGGCCGUAACUAUAACGGUCCUAAGGUAGCGAAAUUCCUUGUCGGGUAAGUUCCGACC
rnacentral:rRNA from 1 species